rnacentral:rRNA from 1 species
UACAGAGGUCUCAAGCGUUGUUCGGAUUCAUUGGGCGUAAAGGGUGCGUAGGUGGCGCUGUAAGUCGGGUGUGAAAUUUCGGAGCUUAACUCCGAAACUGCAUUCGAUACUGCGGUGCUUUGAGGACUGGAGAGGAGACUGGAAUUCAUGGUGCAGCAGUGAAAUGCGUAGAGAUCAUGAGGAAGACCAGUGGCGAAGGCGGGUCUCUGGACAGUUCCUGACACUGAGGCACGAAGGCCAGGGGAGCAAACGGG